UACGGAGGGUGCAAGCGUUAUCCGGAUUUACUGGGUUUAAAGGGUGCGUAGGUGGGCAGUUAAGUCAGCGGUGAAAUCUCUGGGCUUAACCCAGAAACUGCCAUUGAUACUAUCUGUCUUGAAUAUCCUGGAGGUGAGCGGAAUAUGUCAUGUAGCGGUGAAAUGCUUAGAUAUGACAUAGAACACCAAUUGCGAAGGCAGCUCACUACGGGGUUAUUGACACUGAGGCACGAAAGCGUGGGGAUCAAAUAGG
rnacentral:rRNA from 1 species